rnacentral:lncRNA from 1 species
UGUUCCUAAACUCUAACUGCUCCACCCCUUUACAAUCAGUAAAGACAUAACUCUUGGGGACUUUGACAUUUCCACCAUUAAUGUGGAACUGCCUGAAGGGGAAGUUUCAAGGAGGAACAGAAAAACAGCCCCACUCCCACCCUACCCCCGCCAGAUCUGAGCAAACCUCUGCUAGUGACGGAUGUUGAGGACUGGGAGGAGAAAAUGUCUCCUUGUGGGCUGGUUUGUUUUGUUGUUGUUUUAUUAUCAUUUUUAUUUUAUUUUUUCAAGCAUCCCAAUCAACAGCAAAGUCAAGACAGGACAAGAAAAAAGCAACGUAGGGAAGAAGCGAAGAAUUCAGCUUUAGACUUCACACGCACUGCUCUUCGCUUUGAAAACCAACAGAUGAAUCCCCCUUUGAGAUGGAGAGGGGGAAAAAAAAAUAAUGUUUGAGCUUUUGAAAACGUUCCCUGCGUUAUUUGCUGAAUUUGACUUCAAGCCGCAAAUAUUCCGCUCUCCAUAAAGGGCAUGCAUCUUCUUAAGCAGGUUUACCUUUCAGCUCUAACCACCGCUGGUCCCUGGUGCUUGCAGAUACGUUUCGCCGACAGGACCAGGCUUUUCAGGAACAGCCUUUAGCAGUGUCCUGGGGGCUCACAUCAAGAGGAGAAAUGACUAGGUUCUCUCUGUUCUACUUCUGAACACCUGCCCCUUCCUUUCAAUGCUUCCCCCUGCCUCAAAGAGUAGCUAAGCUGUAGGUUUUCAAUGAUUUUGUGUCUUUAUCCUAUUUAUGCAUUGCAGGACAUUAGAAACAACUGAGAACUGAAUCUUUCUCUCAAAGUCACAGCACACAGUGUAAGGCCCCCAGACAUUUCCCUGCAGUCAAAAAUCUCCUGAUAUUUCAUACAUUAAAUCGAUAUAUGGAAGCUGUUCUUUUGCUGUUACAUUUUUUCACAAGCUAUGUAUUUACCCUUGCUAGGGCUCCUCAAAAAAAUGUGUCAGGGCUUCUGGCUCAUGCCAGCAGCGUGUGGUUUCUUGAGAGUGAGUCAUUGCAUUUGCAAGGCUUGAGCUUGAACUGGAAGCUGGAUUUCUGCGCUGUUCCUGGGGACUUGCCUACAGCCAAAAACUACUCCGAGCAAAUACCAAAGUGUUCCAGGUGAAGACAAAGCAAAGGAAACCCAACGAGGCAGGCACACAGCCUCCUAAGCUGAUGGGACCAGCCCACUCGCUCCGCGCACAGGUCGGGACUCGUGUAGGAACUCAAAUCCCGCAAAAAAAAAAAUAACAAGAGACGUACUGCUUGGCCGC